GGCAGCAUUGCUGUGACAGAGCUACAUUGUUUCCUGGAAGCCAGUGUGCAGCAUUUCAGGGUAGGAAGUUCAGUGAAAAAUGAGAUACUUUUGCUGUUUCAAAAAGUACUGAUUGCAAAUAGGGUGGUAACACUGCGAUAAGUCCUAUAAAGAGACAGUAUCAAAGGAACUUGUCUUAUAAUAAGGUGGCAGCACAAGUAGGAGUUGUUGCCAUCUCUAGGAAGAGCUUGGUAGACAUCCCAGCUUCGGGUGCAGGAUUACAGGAAGUCUCUAUGUUACCUAAUUAGAACAAAAAGGGAAAAUGGCAGGACUUUUUCAGAGUUAUUUAAGAAUCUUUAGUUGUUAGCUUUGUCUUUGAUUUCAAGCACAGCUAGUACUUGAAAGUCCUAGCUGUACCUUUGCAGUGAAAAAAAAAACACCUAAACCAACUGAAACAUGGUAUCACAGAAUAGAACACCAGGUUGGAAGGGACCUCAAGGAUAUCUACUCUGACCUUUCUUGGUAAAACAUGGUGGAACUGGUGUGGCUUCCAAAACCCCUGCUGCAUUCCCUCCUCCCUCCCAAGUUUUACAGACUUAAGACAUUUAAAUGAGUGAUCCCAUGGAGCAAGUUAAUUGUAUGGAAAGACAAAAAGUUAAAGUUACGUAUUCUCUGUUUUAGUGAACCCAGUGUGAAAUUAAAGACGUGUACUGCUUAAGGAAGAAGAAAAAAACAGUCAAAAUGCUGAAAGCCCCUUCCACCUCUGGAAAAGAGAUGCCUACCUGACUGCAGCUGUGAGACUCCGAUACCAGUCAUUGAUAUCUUGUUGGUCGCUGGACAUCAACAGCAGUGCCUUGUGUGGAAAGGAAAGCUGAAAGGCAAACAGAAUCUGUGGCAUUCCUUGCCUAGGCAGCAAUUCUGAUUAAAGGAGAAUCAUCACUACUGAA